rnacentral:rRNA from 1 species
GUGAGGAAUAUUGGUCAAUGGGCGAGAGCCUGAACCAGCCAAGUCGCGUGAAGGAAGACGGAUCUAUGGUUUGUAAACUUCUUUUAUAGGGGAAUAAAGUUCGGCACGUGUGUCGAUUUGCAUGUACCCUAUUGAAUAAGCAUCGGCUAACUCCGUGCCAGCAGCCGCGGUAAUACGGAGGAUGCGAGCGUUAUCCGGAUUCAUUGGGUUUAAAGGGUGCGUAGGCGGACUAUUAAGUCAGUGGUGAAAUCCUGCAGCUUAACUGCAGAACUGCCAUUGAUACUGAUAGCCUUGAGUUUGGUUAAGGUAGGCGGAAUGUGUAAUGUAGCGGUGAAAUGCUUAGAUAUUACACAGAACACCAAUUGCGUAGGCAGCUUACUGAGCCGACACUGACGCUGAGGCACGAAAGCGUGGGGAUCGAACAGGAUUAGAUACCCCGGUAGUCC